rnacentral:rRNA from 1 species
AGAGUUUGAUCCUGGCUCAGGAUGAACGCUAGCGACAGGCUUAACACAUGCAAGUCGAGGGGCAGCGGGGGAGUAGCAAUACUCCCGCCGGCGACCGGCGCACGGGUGAGUAACACGUAUGAAACCUGCCCGUAGCGGGGGGAUAAGCGGAAGAAAUUCCGUCUAAUACCGCGUAACAACCCAUGGAGGCAUCUCCGUGGGUUUAAAGGAAGCGAUUCCGGCUACGGAUGGUCAUGCGUCGCAUUAGCUUGUUGGCGGGGUAACGGCCCACCAAGGCGACGAUGCGUAGGGGUUCUGAGAGGAAGGUCCCCCACACUGGUACUGAGACACGGACCAGACUCCUACGGGAGGCAGCAGUGAGGAAUAUUGGUCAAUGGCCGCAGGGCUGAACCAGCCAAGUCGCGUGAGGGAUGACGGUCCUAUGGAUUGUAAACCUCUUUUGUCAGGGAGCAAAGGGCGCCACGUGUGGCGUUUUGCGAGUACCUGAAGAAAAAGCAUCGGCUAACUCCGUGCCAGCAGCCGCGGU